CAAGUCGAGCGGACAGAAGGGAGCUUGCUCCCCGGAUGUUAGCGGCGGACGGGUGAGUAACACGUGGGUAACCUGCCUGUAAGACUGGGAUAACUCCGGGAAACCGGAGCUAAUACCGGAUAGUUCCUUGAACCGCAUGGUUCAAGGAUGAAAGACGGUUUCGGCUGUCACUUACAGAUGGACCCGCGGCGCAUUAGCUAGUUGGUGAGGUAACGGCUCACCAAGGCGACGAUGCGUAGCCGACCUGAGAGGGUGAUCGGCCACACUGGGACUGAGACACGGCCCAGACUCCUACGGGAGGCAGCAGUAGGGAAUCUUCCGCAAUGGACGAAAGUCUGACGGAGCAACGCCGCGUGAGUGAUGAAGGUUUUCGGAUCGUAAAGCUCUGUUGUUAGGGAAGAACAAGUGCAAGAGUAACUGCUUGCACCUUGACGGUACCUAACCAGAAAGCCACGGCUAACUACGUGCCAGCAGCCGCGGUAAUACGUAGGUGGCAAGCGUUGUCCGGAAUUAUUGGGCGUAAAGGGCUCGCAGGCGGUUUCUUAAGUCUGAUGUGAAAGCCCCCGGCUCAACCGGGGAGGGUCAUUGGAAACUGGGAAACUUGAGUGCAGAAGAGGAGAGUGGAAUUCCACGUGUAGCGGUGAAAUGCGUAGAGAUGUGGAGGAACACCAGUGGCGAAGGCGACUCUCUGGUCUGUAACUGACGCUGAGGAGCGAAAGCGUGGGGAGCGAACAGGAUUAGAUACCCUGGUAGUCCACGCC
rnacentral:rRNA from 1 species